rnacentral:rRNA from 1 species
CGGACGGGUGAGUAACACGUGAGCAACCUGGCUCUAAGAGGGGGACAACAGUUGGAAACGACUGCUAAUACCGCAUAGCGUAUCGGGAUGGCAUCUUCCUGAUACCAAAGAUUUUAUCGCUUAGAGAUGGGCUCGCGUCUGAUUAGAUAGUUGGCGGGGUAACGGCCCACCAAGUCGACGAUCAGUAGCCGGACUGAGAGGUUGAACGGCCACAUUGGGACUGAGACACGGCCCAGACUCCUACGGGAGGCAGCAUG